rnacentral:rRNA from 1 species
GACGAACGCUGGCGGCGUGCCUAAUACAUGCAAGUAGAACGCUGAAGGAGGAGCUUGCUCUUCUGGAUGAGUUGCGAACGGGUGAGUAACGCGUAGGUAACCUGCCUGGUAGCGGGGGAUAACUAUUGGAAACGAUAGCUAAUACCGCAUAAGAGUAGAUGUUGCAUGACAUUUACUUAAAAGGUGCAAUUGCAUCACUACCAGAUGGACCUGCGUUGUAUUAGCUAGUUGGUGGGGUAACGGCUUACCAAGGCGACGAUACAUAGCCGACCUGAGAGGGGGAUCGGCCACACUGGGACUGAGACACGGCCCAGACUCCUACGGGAGGCAGCAGUAGGGAAUCUUCGGCAAUGGACGGAAGUCUGACCGAGCAACGCCGCGUGAGUGAAGAAGGUUGUCGGAUCGUAAAGAUCUGUUGUAAGAGAAGAACGAGUGUGAGAGUGGAAAGUUCACACUGUGACGGUAUCUUACCAGAAAGGGACGGCUAACUACGUG